UCCCUGGUUGCUCAGACAGUAAAGCGUCUGCCUACAAUGCAGGAGAUCCUGGUUCGACCCCUGGAUUGGGAA
rnacentral:tRNA from 1 species